UGAGGAAUAUUGGUCAAUGGGCGCAAGCCUGAACCAGCCAUCCCGCGUGCAGGAAGACGGCCCUAUGGGUUGUAAACUGCUUUUCCAGGGGGAGAAACUUGCGCACGUGUUGCGCAAUUGACGGUACCCUGGGAAUAAGCAUCGGCUGACUCCGUGCCAGCAGCCGCGGUAAUACGGAGGAUGCGAGCGUUAUCCGGAUUCAUUGGGUUUAAAGGGUGCGUAGGCGGACUAUUAAGUCAGUGGUGAAAUCCUGCGGCUUAACUGCAGAACUGCCAUUGAUACUGAUAGCCUUGAGUUUGGUUAAGGUAGGCGGAAUGUGUAAUGUAGCGGUGAAAUGCUUAGAUAUUUCACAGAACACCAAUUGCGUAGGCAGCUUACUGAGCCGACACUGACGCUGAGGCACGAAAGCGUGGGGAUCGAACAG
rnacentral:rRNA from 1 species